UGAGUAACGCGUGAGAAUCUGCCUUCAGGUGUGGGACAACCACUGGAAACGGUGGCUAAUACCGGAUGUGCCAAUAAGUAAAAGAUUUAUCGCCUGAAGAUGAGCUCGCGUCUGAUUAGCUAGUUGGUAGGGUAAAAGCCUACCAAGGCAACGAUCAGUAGCUGGUUUGAGAGGAUGAUCAGCCACACUGGAACUGAGACACGGUCCAGACUCCUACGGGAGGCAGCAGU
rnacentral:rRNA from 1 species